AGGCGUGGAACCUAUUGUGCUAUUCUAUGCCCUAAAACAAAUAUGUGCCUGUGUUGAAAAGGGGCCCUAACAUGGGGAAUUAUGUAUUUGUGGUGGAUCCUGUAAGAACAGGCAUUAGCGUUAUCAUCCAGAAAUUAGUUUAACAAAUACCACAGCCUGAUAAAAGAAUACUUGUCCAUCGUAUCGUCAUUAAACGUUAAUAUAUGUUUUGAUAGAUUAAGAGUAUAUUUUGUGAAAUGAUUAAAGUAAGGUGAAAUAGGGUCUCAAGACACAAGUUCAAUGGUUUUCUGAAUGAUAAUCUGCACUAAGGUAUGACUUAGGAUGAAGUUACUAAUAUUAUAAUGUGUAUAUAUUUUUCGCUGUUUUCUUUUACCAAGUGAUUUCAUUGGCUCUCCUUGUAGAGAGGUGUGUCAUCUUCAAAUUGCAGAUGUUUCCUUGCUGAUAGGUGCACUAUUUUAGCAUGAGUAGCAAUGAGAGGAAUCUGAUCUGUAUAUAAUGAGGAAAUGUUAAAGAGGAGUUGACAUUUUAAACUAAUUUUAGACGCAUCCCAUUUGAUUAUCACGAUGAGCUAGCAGGUGGCCCAGUCCUGACACUGAAAGAGUAAAACUUACGAUUGAGUCAGGAUGGGACUCUGUACUAGCUGGGUGACUUCCAGCAAGUCACUUAACUUUUGGAACUUACAUUCACCUUCUGUCGCACUUAGAUGGUAAUAAUUUCUCUAUUUACAACAUGAGCUCAUUGUGAUAAUCAAAUGGAAUGUGUCUAAGACACCAGUUUGAAAUAUGAAAUCAAUAUUUUCUAUAUAUUCUAUAUUGAACAUGUUACCCAUUAAUAAAAUGUAAAAUCGUUGGCCUGGCCUGCAAAGUCCUUCACAUUUAGAAUAAAACAGCUUUAAAUCUGAUUCUCAUCAAAACUAGCUUAUUCUCUCAAAUUUGAAUUGGUUUAUGUCCAUCUAAUUGGUUUAUUAGAAAAUUCAAAUAGCAGCCUAACCAGCAGUGAUUGACUUUUCUAAGACAACAGAGUGGCAGUUCAAGGGUUUUGAUGAGGCUUUGUGGUCCCCUGGUUCUCUCAUCACUGCUUUCUUCAUUCUUUCAUGGACGCUUCCUAGAUACCACGUUCGGGAUCUAGGCAGGAGGAGGCAAAAGGAAGAGGGAAAAGUGGCAGCUGGGGCUUCUCCUUUCUUUAGAAAAGUAUUGGGAGGCUGAGGCAGGCAGAUCACAAGGUUAGGAGUUCGAGACCAGCCUGGCCAACAUAGUGAAACCCCGUCUCUACUAAAAAAUAUGAAGAUUAGCCGGGCAGGGUGGUGCGUGCCUGUAGGCCCAGCUACAUAGGAAGCUGAGGCAGGAGAAUCGCUUGAACCCAGGAGGGUGGAGGUUGUGGUGAGCCGAGAUUGCUCCACCACACUCCAGCCUGAGCAAGAGAGUGAGGCUCUGUCCUUAAAAUAAAUAAAUAAAUAAAUAAAAUAAAAUAAAAUGAAAAACUCUUCCCAGUGCCUCUAGUAGAACUCUCUUCAUAUGAUAAUGUCCAGAAGGUGCCACACCGUCAACAAAGCUGCUGAGAAGGAUGUAUUUUUUUUUUUCCUUUUACAGAAGCUUUGAAUAUGGAGGUGGUAGAGAUGGUAAGGAAGUUGAAAACCAACAUGGGUUCAGCACAGAGAACUCAAAAAAAAAA
ensembl:lncRNA